CGUCGAAACAUGUUCAGAAGAGGCUGGUAUUUCAAACUUAAGAUUUGUAACGCACACGAAAACGUAUUUAACUAAAAAUGAAGGUGUUGGUGAUAUUUGUGGUUUUAGCUGUCAUUAGUUCAAGAUCCUGUGUAGAUGCUUGUGACUCUUCAGCUCUUUUAAGUUGCAGUUUGCCAACCGGCGGCUCAGCCAAUAUUUGCACCGCACUAGCAACGUACAAAACAUGUGUAGUUAAUGCAGCCUGUUUUAGCGGGGCUGCUGAAAAUUCUUAUAAUUCUCUUAUGACAUCCGCUAAAUGCGGAGCGUGCACGGCUAAAAUCAGCCUGUCUGUAAUGUCACUCACUGCUGCUUUAAUCUUUCUUAAAAAAUUAAUGUAAAUACGUAUUUUUGUAGACACUGUUUAUGUACAUCACACUUCUAUAACGUAUUUUUAAACUCUGUUUAUGUACAUCACACUCCAAUAACAUAUUUUUAAAAUUCUGUUUAUGUACAUCAUACCCCAAUAACGUAUUUUUAACAGAAUAACGUUGUUUUUUUUUAAACUCUGUUUAUGCACAUUACACUCCAAUGACGUAUUUUUAAACUGUUAAUAAAGUCGAUGUUUUUGUCUAGUAUUGCGUUAUAUUUAGUUGUGAAUAUGGCAAAUUUGAUUAAGCCACCUAGUCUCACAAAUAUCAUGUAAUUAAAACAUGUAAUAUACGGACCAGGAAUUGUGACCUCAAAUCGAAGUCCGUCAAUCGAUGCACAAUUCUCCAAAGAACGCUGUCACGUCGACUGAUCUUUAAUUGACGGAACUACAGGCCUUUUCGUUUUGAACAGCACGGUGAGUAGCGCUUGGAGCCAGUGGCGGAUUAAGCUCCUCCAAGGCCUGAGGCGGCAGUUGCUGGAAGGCCUAUUUAUUUUUUAAAGUUAGAGCCAAGGUAGUUGCUAACAUUAAAAACGGGAUUCGUUACUGAGGUUAUCCAGGGGCCUACAAUCACGUCAUAACUAGUAUGACGUCUUAGACUAUACCAUAGAUAAUACCGUAUGAUUGCCGACUCAUGAAUUCUCGACGUUAUGUUGCGAAACGCGUGAAACGGCGAGAAAGGUGGUUGAUCACUUCCGGUCUUCUGUUCUCGCUGUUUGUUUACUAUAGGCCCAGUAGCGAUAUUUUUAUUUAGCGCUUUCUUGUAGUAUUAAAUGUGGCAUCAUCUGGUUAAAUGGUAACGAGAAAUAGAAGCAAUGUUCGAGCAGAACGUACUGGUACCCGUCUUUUGUUUGCUACCUAGGGGCCUAGGGGAGUGCCAGCUUGUAAAGCAAAUAUAUUUCA